CCUACGGGGUGCAGCAGUGAGGAAUAUUGGUCAAUGGGCGCGAGCCUGAACCAGCCAAGUCGCGUGAGGGAAGACGGUCCUAUGGAUUGUAAACCUCUUUUGUCGGGGAGCAAAAGACGCCACGCGUGGCGUUCCGAGAGUACCCGAAGAAAAAGCAUCGGCUAACUCCGUGCCAGCAGCCGCGGUAAUACGGAGGAUGCGAGCGUUAUCCGGAUUUAUUGGGUUUAAAGGGUGCGCAGGCGGAAGAUCAAGUCAGCGGUAAAAUUGAGAGGCUCAACCUCUUCGAGCCGUUGAAACUGGUUGUCUUGAGUGAGUGAGAAGUAUGCGGAAUGAGUGGUGUAGCGGUGAAAUGCAUAGAUAUCACGCAGAACUCCGAUUGCGAAGGCAGCAUACCGGCGCUCAACUGACGCUCAUGCACGAAAGUGUGGGUAUCGAACAGGAUUAGAUACCCUUGUAGUC
rnacentral:rRNA from 1 species